CUUUCGAGGUAUGCUCGAUGUAUACGUCAGUCAUUUUAGCAGGGACCCCUCAUAAAAACAGUUUGUCAUUUCUGGCAGAUGGUAUGGGAACAGAAUGCAAGAGCAAUUAUCAUGCUAACUAAUUUUGUUGAAAAUCACCAG